rnacentral:rRNA from 1 species
AUUGAACGCUGGCGGCAGGCCUAACACAUGCAAGUCGAACGGUAACAGGAAGAAGCUUGCUUCUUUGCUGACGAGUGGCGGACGGGUGAGUAAUGUCUGGGAAACUGCCUGAUGGAGGGGGAUAACUACUGGAAACGGUAGCUAAUACCGCAUAAUGUCGCAAGACCAAAGAGGGGGACCUUCGGGCCUCUUGCCAUCGGAUGUGCCCAGAUGGGAUUAGCUAGUAGGUGGGGUAACGGCUCACCUAGGCGACGAUCCCUAGCUGGUCUGAGAGGAUGACCAGCCACACUGGAACUGAGACACGGUCCAGACUCCUACGGGAGGCAGCAGUGGGGAAUAUUGCACAAUGGGCGCAAGCCUGAUGCAGCUAUGCCGCGUGUAUGAAGAAGGCCUUCGGGUUGUAAAGUACUUUCAGCGGGGAGGAAGGGAGUAAAGUUAAUACCUUUGCUCAUUGACGUUACCCGCAGAAGAAGCACCGGCUAACUCCGCG